UCAUUUAGCCAGAAAAAAACAGCUGUCGAGUGUGCUGACAACAGGAUGCUGGAGAUUCUUCAUUUUAAAAAUCACGGCAACUCUGAGAUUGAUGAGGCUUCACAGCAUAUCCCCCUUCUUUACCUUGGGAAAGCUGAUUUUUCUAUGAUGGCAUUCCUGCUGUGAUGGUUGCCUGGGAAGCUGUGCAGAACAGGCUCCUGGACCUCCUCUUCAACUAGGUCACCCUUGAUCCAGCGCUGUAUGUGGGGAAGCUGUGCAAGCUGUCCAUCGCAGAACCCCUGUGCCCAGUGUGAGAGGCCUCCACGACAGAGGCCUGACAAGGAGGAAGCCCUAGCUGGAUUUGUCUCCCGCUUCAAUCUUGGGAAUGACUGAAGCCAAGUGUGUGACUGAAGCCUGCAUAAUUGAAGCAGGGUACAUGGGUCCCCCUCCUCUCCCG
ensembl:lncRNA